rnacentral:lncRNA from 1 species
UCCUAAACUGGAAACAGGAGGCUCUAAGAGGCACUGCCUUUUCCUCCAGCCUCGGUGUGGUGGGGGUGGUGAGUGUCUGGAACCGGGUUUCCCGAAUCAGGACAGGAGUCUGAAUGGAUCUCACAAAAACCGGCCAGGGAGGGAGAGAACCAGGGGAGACUCCUCACACCGGGAGGUGGGGGUGGCGGCAAACUGAGAACCCGGGCUUGGGGCGCGGGAUUUUCUCAACAGACCAUAGGGUCCACUAAUGUGGACGGCAGGGAUUUGGGGAAACUAAGGGGGACUCUCACUUUGGACACCAAGGGCUGAGGACGGAUUGGGGAAGAGGAUACGGUUUCUACUGGGGUGCUGAUGGAGGUUCCCCACUCGGGACGCGAGGCACUGAGUGGGUCCCCCAAACUGGAUAUGGGAUCCUGGGAACGGAGCGAGGGCUCUAAAUUAGAGCCCUGGGGUGGGGGUGGGGGGCUGUAAAUUAGGUUGGGAGGAAACUGGGGGCUCUGAGGGCGGCUUCUCGCUCCGACUGGGGAAAUGGAGCAUGUGGGGACUGGGGAGCACUAGGGCUAUCUCCCGCCCGACCCGAGGAGAUUGGGGUUCUCUUCAAUUCUGGACAGCAGGGACCUGAGAGGGAAGACCGGGGGGGUUCCCGAUCCGGAACCGAGCUACCUUGAAGGCACCGGGAAGCGCUUCAUUCCGGGAGGGCGUUCCCGCGGCCGGGCCCCCGCGCCGGGGUGGGUGGGGGGUGCGGCCGCGCCCUGGUCCCGGCCCGCACCGGGAUUCGGGGGUCUCGCUCGGCCCCGGAGACCCAGGAGCCCCGCGGGAAGGGGGUCCCGGCGCCGCCGCCUCCGCGGGCGCCCGGGCUCGCGGGCGAGCGCGGGGCUUUAUGCGCGCAGGGCGGC